GGCAGGAGCUCCGGAGGACCUCCCUCCUGUGCACCCCAUUGCUGCAGAGGAAGGUCAAAGGCAGAAUGCCCUCGUCCCACAGUUGGAAUGCCAGGCCCCUUGGGAAUUCGGGCCAUGUGUCAGCAGGAAGGUCCCAGGGAAGGGAGCCGAGACCAUGCCACCCACCACACACCCACUCAGCCCUGGAGGAGGAAGAUGAAGGUCCAGAGUGGCUGCUCUUAGGUCAGGCUGCACGCUCCAACCCCACCCCGUGUGGGUUCCCCCACACCAGCCUCCCCUCUCAGACAAGCCCAUGUGAACAAGCCUGUCCCUCCAGGCACCCUGUGGCCAUGGGUGUCGGCGCCUGGAGUGAUUCCCAGCAGCACACUCAGGAAGGGCUGAGGCCUGCCCCAGCAAGGAAGGCCGUGAGCAGCGAGCGGGGCAGGGUGGCCCUCAGCUCUCCAGGAGGUCCCCCAUGGCCCCAGCCCCUCAGGAGCUUCUGGACACUCUUCCCC
rnacentral:lncRNA from 1 species